UUUUAGAAACCGCGUUCCACUUACCUCGCCGACCACAAACCGACCAUACCCUCAACCGACUUAAAUCUCCUAUUUAAUGUACAGAACAUCUCCACAUUGUUUCUCGUCCUUUCCUUUUUUUUUUGGGUCGUUCUCUGGUAGCUUUCGAUUUGAGGCCAGCUCUGUGUUCUUUUUUCGUUUCGUCGUGCGAUUUCGAUCUCGAUCAUGUAUCCACUAAUUAUUCUGGAAUUAUUGAUCCAUGAUAUGUUAGGGCGAUUUGGAUGAUACGUUAGGGGGAUUUGGAUCUCGAUCUUGAAUAAUUUUAGGGCACUGAUCGUUGUUGAGGUUUUGCCUAUGAUUUGCCAGCGCUGACCUUAUCUUCUUCUUGUUUUGAUUCAUCUCGUGUUAUUUGGAUCUUUAAUAUAUGUAAGGUACUGAUUAUUAUGGAGUUAGGACUCUAGUUUUGCUUACGCUGACCUUAUAUUCUUUUUACUUAUUUUGAUUUGUCUUGUGCAGUUUGGAUCUGGAUGCCGAAUGUAUGUUGGAUAUCUAUGUUAGAUUGUUGUUCAUCGAAUUAACCGAUCCUUUUCGUUAAUAUUUUACCAUAAAUUGGCUUAGUAUUUUACCAUAAAUUGGUUAACUUGAUCGUUGAUUAUUGGAUAAACAUGUGUUCUAAUGCUAACUUCACAAUCUUUCUACUUAUUUUGUUUGUUCUUGUGCAAUUUGGAUCUCUAUUUUAGAUCAAUUUCAUCUAUUUUUCUAUUUUUCUUUUUUUUUGGGUGCCUGGCAUGUUAAAUAUAAAUGUGCUAACAUUCUUAUAACCAUUCUA